rnacentral:rRNA from 1 species
UGAGGAAUUUUGCGCAAUGGGAGCAAUCCUGACGCAGCAACGCCGCGUGGGUGAUGAAGGCCUUCGGGUCGUAAAGCCCUGUCAGGUGGGAAGAAUGUCCCGGGACUGAACAGGUUCCGGGAGUGACGGUACCACCAGAGGAAGCACCGGCUAACUCCGUGCCAGCAGCCGCGGUAAUACGGAGGGUGCAAGCGUUAUUCGGAAUUACUGGGCGUAAAGCGCGUGUAGGCGGUCCUGCAAGUCGGAUGUGAAAGCCCCGGGCUUAACCCGGGAAGUGCAUUGGAUACGGUGGGACUUGAGGACUGGAGAGGAUGGGGGAAUUCCCGGUGUAGAGGUGAAAUUCGUAGAGAUCGGGAGGAAUAUCAGUGGCGAAGGCGCCCAUCUGGACGGUAACUGACGCUGAGACGCGAAAGCGUGGGGAGCAAACA